rnacentral:rRNA from 1 species
AGCUCGUAGUUGGAUUUCUGUUGAGGAAGGCCGGUCCGCACUUUGUGCGCGAUCUGGUUCUGCCUCGGCAUCCUCGCGGGGAACAUGCUGCGCUUGAUUGCGUGGUGUGGUAUUCGCGACUUUUACUUUGAGGAAAUUAGAGUGUUCACGGCAGGCAAUCGCCUUGAAUACGUUAGCAUGGAAUAAUAAUAUAGGACCUUGGUUCUAUUUUGUUGGUUUCUAGAACUAAGGUAAUGAUUAAUAGGGAUAAUUGGGGGCAUUUGUAUUAACACGUCAGAGGUGAAAUUCUUGGAUUGUGUUACGACAAACUACUGCGAAAGCAUUUGCCAAGGAUGUUUUCAUUGAUCAAGAACGAAAGUAAGGGGAUCGAAGACGAUUAGAUACCGUCGUAUUUUUUUACCAUAAACUAUGCCAACUAGAGAUUGGAGGUCGUUCUUUUUAUGACUCCUUCAGCACCUUAUGAGAAAUCAAAGUCUUUGG